GAGAGUGCGUUGUGAAGUUACCUUGCUUGGUAAUUCGUUCUUUGUUGUGGGGCUCCUCUCGCUCCUUGCUACUACUCGCUGCACCCAUUUCCUUGUGAAACUUUAGGUGUCGAAGAGCGGGGAGGAGGAGGAGGUAUAAUUGGUUCAAGUUCGUGGCUUUGGUGUAGGAAAACAAAUAACAUCCAUAGUCUUCCCUGAUGAUGUAUCGGACUUUCUUGGAGUGCGAGCACGACCGUUGAACGGGCUGCGUGAACUUUUCUCUAAUUGUAAUAGAUAAGGAUUUGAUAAAUUUGUAUAAUAAUUUAGCGGACUUCGGAGAUAUGCCGGACAUUAUACCUUUUUAUUUGGUGUUACUUUUUGUUUUUACUUGAAAUAUUCGUUUGAGAACGAAGCAACGAUUAUUUAUAAUUCCAAGAUCAA